GCCCGAGUGGUGAAAUAGGUAGACACAAGGGACUUAAAAUCCCUCGCUGGAAACAGUGUACCGGUUCGAGUCCGGUCUCGGGCACCA
rnacentral:tRNA from 2 species